rnacentral:lncRNA from 1 species
AGAACACCCUGGAUUUUUUCUCAAGUAGACAUAAGCUACCCAUCUUCCCUUUGCACCUAGUGCGGACGAAAGUUUGGCUGUAGAACAUUUUUUAUUAACUUUUCUGUAAUGGUGGUAAAAGGGUGUCCGACCCCAACUUUGGACCUACUUUAAAAAAAAAACUAAUCCGAACAACACCCUGGAUUUUUUUUAUCAAGUAGACAUCAGCUACCCAGCUUUCCUUUGCACCUAGUGCGGACGAAAGUAUUGCUGUAGAACAUUUUUUUAUUGACUUUUCUGUAAGGGUUGGGUAAGGUGUCCGACCCCAACUUUAGACCUACUUUAAAAGAAAAAAAAAUAAGCCGAACAACACCCUGGAUUUUUUCUCAAGUAGACCUCAGCUACCCAGC